rnacentral:rRNA from 1 species
UACGUAGGUGGCAAGCGUUGUCCGGAUUUACUGGGCGUAAAGAGCGCGCAGGCGGUCGUUCAAGUCGCGUGUGAAAGCCCCCGGCUCAACUGGGGAGGGUCACGCGAUACUGAUCGACUGGAAGGCAGGAGAGGGUAGUGGAAUUCCCGGUGUAGUGGUGAAAUGCGUAGAUAUCGGGAAGAACACCCGUGGCGAAGGCGGUUCUCUGGGACGGUACUGACGCUGAGACGCGAAAGCGUGGGGAGCGAACAGG